GACGUCCCUAGUUCGGAUUGUAGGCUGAAACUCGCCUACAUGAAGCUGGAAUUGCUAGUAAUCACAGGUCAGCAUACUGUGGUGAAUACGUUCCCGGGCCUUGUACACACCGCCCGUCACACCAUGGGAGCCGGUAAUACCCGAAGUCAGUAGUCCAACCACGUGAGGACGCUGCCGAAGGUAGGAUUGGCGACUGGGGUGAAGUCGUAACAAGGUACC
rnacentral:rRNA from 1 species